rnacentral:tRNA from 1 species
CAGGGAGACAACAAAAUGUUUUAAUUUUAUUAUUUUGUCACCUUAGGUCGAUCGGUAUCUCACGUUCUUAAUUUAUUAAGAAUUUCAAUUCCUAAGUUUUUUCUAGGUCACACCCAUUAUAUUUCCUGGGCCAUUAGCUCAGGUGGUUAGAGCGCACCCCUGAUAAGGGUGAGGUCCCUGGUUCAAGUCCAGGAUGGCCCAUAUCUCUAUGUUGGGGGUAUAGCUCAGUUGGUAGAGCGCCUGCUUUGCAAGCAGGAUGUCAGCGGUUCGAGUCCGCUUACCUCCACUGAUUACCACCUCUUCCAUAAUGUUUAAAAAGGAAAUGUUUUGAGACGUGAUCAAAUUCUGAACGAAUCUAGCUUCCUAAUGAAAUCAUUAAGAUGCUGAAUUCAUUGAAUUAAUUUCAUUGUUUUCAGAGAACCUUGACAACUGCAUAGAUUAUUUUUAAAGACAAUAAGCAUCUUUUAUGAUGCAGAUUUUUUAUUUGUGCGAAUGCAUUAAUAACAAUUCUAUUAAGCUGAUGCUUCAAUUUUGAAGUUAUU